rnacentral:rRNA from 1 species
UUCCGGUUGAUCCUGCCGGACCCUACUGCUAUCGGGGUGAGACUAAGCAAUGCAAGUCGUGCGCCUCAAGCCAUGGUGAGGCGCGGCAAACGGCUCAGUAACACGUGGCUAACCUACCCUUAGGACGGGGACAACCCCGGGAAACUGGGGCUAAUCCCAGAUAGGUGAAGAAGCCUGGAAUGACUCUUCGCUCAAAUGGCGUUGGGGACAUGCUUCCCAGCGUUGCCUAAGGAUGGGGCCGCGGCCGAUCAGGUUGUUGGUGAGGUAACGGCCCACCAAGCCUUUAACCGGUACGGGCCAUGAGAGUGGGAGCCCGGAGAUGGGCACUGAGACAAGGGCCCAGGCCCUACGGGGUGCAGCAUGCGCGAAACCUCCGCAAUGCGCGAAAGCGUGACGGGGUUACCCCGAGUGCCGUCCGCUGAGGAUGGCUUUUCUCCUGUGUAAGGAGCCGGAGGAAUAAGGGGAGGGCAAGACUGGUGUCAGCCGCCGCGGUAAUACCAGCUCCCCGAGUGGUGGGGAUGCUUAUUGGGCCUAAAGCAUCCGUAGCUGGUUGGGCAAGUUCUCCGUUAAAUCCAACGAUUCAAUCGUUGGGCUGCGGGGAAUACUGUCCGACUAGGGGGCGGGAGAGGCCGACGGUAUUCUCGGGGUAGGGGUGAAAUCCUAUAAUCCCGGGAGGACCACCAGUGGCGAAGGCUGUCGGCUAGAACGCGCCCGACGGUGAGGGAUGAAAGCUGGGGGAGCGAACCGGAUUAGAUACCCGGGUAGUCCCAGCUGUAAACGAUGCAGGCUAGGUGUUGGCGCGGCUACGUGCCGCUCUAGUGCCGCAGGGAAGCCCGUUAAGCCUGCCGCUGGGAAGUACGGCGCAAGCUGAAACUUAAAGGAAUUGGCCGGGAGCACCACAAGGCUGUGAAGCUUGCGGUUUAAAUUGAAGUCA